rnacentral:rRNA from 1 species
GAUGAACGCUGGCGGCGUGCCUAAUACAUGCAAGUCGAGCGAACAGACGAGGAGCUUGCUCCUCUGACGUUAGCGGCGGACGGGUGAGUAACACGUGGAUAACCUCCCUAUAAGACUGGUAUAACUUCGGGACACCGGAGCUAAUACCGGAUAACAUGCUGAACCGCAUGGUUCAACAGUGAAAUACGGUCUUGCUGUCACUUAUAGAUGCUUCCGCGCCGUAUUAGCUAGUUGGUAAGUUAACGGCUUACCAAGGCAACGAUGCGUAGCCGACGGGAGAGAGGGAUCGGCCACAUUGGAAGUGAGACACGGACAAUAGUACUAAGGGAGGGAGCAGUCGGGAAUCUUCCGCAGUGGGCGAGAUCCUGACGGAGCAACGCGGCGUGAGUGAAGAAAGUCUUGGGAUCGUAAAACUCUGUUAUUAGGGAAGAACAAAUGUGUAAGUAAAUAUGCACGUCUUGACGGUACCUAAUCAGAAAGCCACGGCUAACUACGUG